GGAAUGAGUGGCUGCAUGGGGCUGAGUUGCCGUCUGCGGUUAAACCCCAACACUUAUCAAAGUUUUCGAAGUCAAGCUGGUGGUCUAAGAGCUUUAUCUGGAUCAAUCCAGACUGAGUUACAGCCUUCCAACAAGUCAGCAGACAGAUGCUAUAUCACUGCAAUGGACUACGUGUCGUCUUAACCUUGCCAAAAGAUAAGGUAAAUGGCUUCAGUUUGAAGUGGAAUAUUGCAAUCUGUCAUCAUCCUAAGUCCUUUCAUAUGAAGAAGUAUGGUGUUAAUUCUGAUGGUUUCUUCCUCCUCUCUCCAGGAUUUACUUAGGGCUAUUUUUAUGCCUUUGUUAAACCCAGUUUGCAGUUUGAGCUUUCUUAUGUGGUCUGUAAUCAUUUCAUACAUAUAGCGCAUUUUAUAUAUAUGUAUAUAUAUAUAUAUAUACACAGUUUAGUUUUUCUUUGUUCUCUUUAUGAACAACCCCCCAAAACAGCUCCUGUGUCUGUAUUUGUUUGAGUUGUUUAUAGCCCUGGUGUCUGGAGUCUGUGUUCUGACUCUCUACCAUCUCAUACUUGUACUUCUAUCUAUGCAGAAAUUGCAACUACACUGUACAAACGUAAGUGAAAGUAAAACAAAUUGGGCGUAGCUCCAGUCACUGGAAAAGUUGCUGUUACAGACAAAUCAAAUAAAAGCAAAGUUCCAGGCACGUUGAAGCAAAUUCAGACAGAGUAAACUUUGCAAACAUCAGUCCACAGGCUCCAUAAGUCACUACACAGCCUGUUGCUGAAAAUGUCAACCGUGUAUUUACUGGACUACAGAGCUAAGAAGUCCUAGUUCACAAACGGAAAUCACAAAUCACACCUGGUAUUGUUAAAGGUAUAUUCAGUUUUAAAGUUAUCAGAGGAUAGAAAGCCUGAACCAUCAAGAAUUACUGAACAAAAGGACACCUAGAGGACAACCUGGAGGACCCCGACUGACAAAUUUAAGCUACUGGAAGACAGCUUUGGACUCUGAUUGCUUUCUGUGAUGCUCUGCUGUAUUUUUAUAACUGCCAUGUUUUGAUUAGACUGUUAGAAUUAUUUUAAUUGACUGAGUUCUUGGAUUCUCAAAUAAAAUGUGUUCCUUUCAUGCUCAU